UACAGAGGUCUCAAGCGUUGUUCGGAUUUACUGGGCGUAAAGGGCGCGUAGGCGGUCAGCACAAGUCAGUUGUGAAAUCUCCGGGCUUAACUCGGAAAGGUCAACUGAUACUGUGCGACUAGAGUGCGGAAGGGGCAACUGGAAUUCUCGGUGUAGCGGUGAAAUGCGUAGAUAUCGAGAGGAACACCUGCGGCGAAGGCGGGUUGCUGGGCUGACACUGACGCUGAUGCGCGAAAGCCAGGGGAGCGAACGGG
rnacentral:rRNA from 1 species